rnacentral:rRNA from 1 species
UAUGAUUAAGCUGAUAAGGGCAUUUGGUGGAUACCUAGGCAACAAGAAGCGAAGAAAGACGUAGCUGGGUGCGAUAAGCUCCGGGGAGUGACCAAGCACACUUUGAUCCGGAGAUUUCUGAAUGGGGAGACCCUCUAGGAGUAACUUCCUAGAAUCCUCGUCUGAAUACAUAGGGCGAGAGAGGCGAACGCGGCGAAGUGAAACAUCUCAGUAGCCGUAGGAAAAGAAAUCAAGCAGAGAUUCCCUGAGUAGUGGCGAGCGAAACGGGAAUAGCCCAAACCGAUUUGAUGUAAGAUGACAGUCGUUGUCAGGUCGGUGUUGUGGGGCGCUAAAGCUGCAACUGUCAGUGCGGCAAAGAGUUACAAAAGCUUUCGUUAGUCGAAUGGUCUGGAAAGGCCGACCAAAGAGGGUGACAGUCCCGUAGACGAAAACGAGAAGCUCUCUUUUAGUGUCCCCGAGUACAACGGAACACGUGAAAUUCUGUUGGAAACUGGGAGGACCAUCUUCCAAGGCUAAACAUUCCUUGUUGACCGAUAGUGAACUAGUACCGUGAGGGAAAGGUGAAAAGAACCCCGGCGAGGGGAGUGAAAUAGAACAUGAAACCAAAUGCCUACAAGCCGUGUGAGGGCUAUGAUUCAAGCCUGAGCAUGUACCUUUUGCAUAAUGAGUCAGCGAGUUAUCGUCAGGAGCAAGGUUAAGUCGUUAGACGGAGCCGAAGCGAAAGCAAGUCUGAAUAGGGCGAACAAAGUUGCUGGCGGUAGACCCGAAACCCGACGAUCUAGCCAUGGUCAGGAUGAAGCGUAGGUAACACUGCGUGGAGGUCCGAACCCACUACUGUUGAAAAAGUAGGGGAUGAGCUGUGGUUAGGAGUGAAAGGCUAAUCAAGUCGGGUGAUAGCUGGUUCUCUCCGAAAUAUAUUGAGGUAUAGCCUCGGCCGUUUGAUCGCGGAGGUAGAGCACUGGAUAGGCUAGGGGUCGAUUGCGAUUACCAAACCUAACCAAACUCCGAAUACCGUUGAUUCUAAGCCGGGAGACAGGCUGUGGGGGAUAAGCUUCAUAGCCGAGAGGGAAAGAGCCCAGACUACCGAUUAAGGCCCCUAAAUCUAUGCUAAGUGGUGAAUGAGGUGGGAUUACUCAGACAGCCAGGAGGUUGGCUUAGAAGCAGCCAUCCUUUAA